UCGCUCUGCGGGUGAGUUGAGUACUCCCGAGGCUCUGUUGACGAUGUCACGGUCACAUAUUCGCACGAAAUGUUCCUUGUAAUCAGCAAUUCGUGCUCUCCGGGAAAAACUGGAGUGAGAUACCAUCUGCAGAGGCUAUGCACAUGGAGAUAUGGCUGUCAUUAAGGGAAACAGACAACCCCGAUUCCAUUGAAGAAACGAGAAGAUAAUGACGAGUGUCAUCCAUCAAGUUAUUAAGCUGAAGCACAACUGGGUGGCAGGCGGGAUGGAGUUAAGGCAAAGUGUGGAGCAGAUUCUAGGCCUUGACAUAAUAGCUGCUGUCAUCACAUGGAUGGAUUCACUCACUUAGGAUAAUGGAAACCCACAGCAUUCGACAACAGGCCUGACAUGAGCCUGGGGCAACAUCCACAUCUGAAUGAGCCUUGGGCAACAUCUACAACUGACACUAAGACCUCCAAUGGCAUGGACAAUAAUGAAGAUAAAAUUGUAUUUGUACAGUAGCAGCAAAUAGUAGGAUUUAACCAUGUUUAUAUUCUCUGCUUCACCAAAAAUGUCUGGUUAUUCCAAAUGCCAACAAUUUUCCUUCAGAGAUUAUGCUUCCAUUUUCUUUAUAGAUAGAUUGUUUUAUGAUUUGCUUCUGUUGUG